rnacentral:tRNA from 1 species
GCACGGAUGGCCGAGUGGUCUAAGGCGCCAGACUUAAGUGAUAACACAUUGAGAGUUCUGGUAUCGUAAUCGAUGCGUGGGUUCGAACCCCACUCCGUGCA